UACGAGGGGGGUAAGCGUUGUUCGGAAUUACUGGGCGUAAAGGGCUCGUAGGCGGCCAACUAAGUCAGACGUGAAAUCCCUCAGCUUAACUGGGGAACUGCGUCUGAUACUGGAUGGCUUGGAUUUGGGAGAGGAAUGCGGAAUUCCGGGUGUAGUGGUGAAAUGCGUAGAGAUCCGGAGGAACCCCAGAGGCGAAGGCGGCAGCCUGGUUCGUACCUGACGCUCGGACACGACAGCAUGGGGAGCGAACGGG
rnacentral:rRNA from 1 species